rnacentral:rRNA from 1 species
GAUGAACGCUGGCGGCGUGCCUAACACAUGCAAGUCGAACGGAACUUCUUUGACAGAAUUCUUCGGAAGGAAGUUGAUUAAGUUUAGUGGCGGACGGGUGAGUAACGCGUGAGUAACCUGCCUUUGAGAGGGGAAUAACUUCCCGAAAGGGAUGCUAAUACCGCAUGAUGCAUAGAAGUCGCAUGGCUUUUAUGCCAAAGAUUUAUCGCUCAAAGAUGGACUCGCGUCCGAUUAGCCAGUUGGCGGGGUAACGGCCCACCAAAGCGACGAUCGGUAGCCGGACUGAGAGGUUGAACGGCCACAUUGGGACUGAGACACGGCCCAGACUCCUACGGGAGGCAGCAGUGGGGGAUAUUGCGCAAUGGGGGAAACCCUGACGCAGCAACGCCGCGUGAAGGAUGAAGGUUUUCGGAUUGUAAACUUCUUUUAUUAGGACGAAGAAUGACGGUACUAAAUGAAUAAGCUCCGGCUAACUCCGUGCCAGCAGCCGCGGU